UUUUCUCUCUCUCCAAGUAUAACUGUAUCAUCAUAAACUCAGUAACAUGACACCAAGAAGAAGAAGAAGAAGAAGAAGAAUGGCGGCGAGAUCAUAUGUUGCUCUUCUGCUAACUUCGUUUCUGCUUCUUAUUUCUCCUUCCUCCCAGUUUGGAUUCAUCAACGUUAAACACCGUAACUUAGAUUUUUCCUUUCGAGCUGGAAUCACGGAUGCUACACAUUACCGUAAACUAGGUAUGUUACAAGGUCGAUUGCAACGGGAUGUAAAGUCAAGACACGGUCAACCUAGUUCUAGCAUCGAGAUGUCACCCUCAAAAUCGCGACGAGAUCGUGGUCCAUGACAAAAUUCGACUCAGCGAAUGAUCGUGAAUUGAUAUAUGGUGAAGAAUAUAUAUAUAUACGUGUAUAUGGACAAUAAUUCAUAUCUAUGAACGAUUCGAUCAAUUACAAAAUGCAACGCGAGACUUUCUUA